GUCCCGAGUGGCAUCAAGAAGCCACAUAAAACCCAAGAAGCUUGUGAUCCAGUGUAGAUUAAGACUUGGGGCUGACUCUCACUCAUUCUUACACUUUAUUCUCUCUUUCUCUCAUUUUCCACCCCCCGCCAACUGUGUGGUACCUUGAGGGAGGUGCCCGAAGAUUUUCCAUAUGCUCAGAUGUCAUAGUGAGACGAGAGAUGUUAAGAGAAAUAUUUGUGCCUGGAAAGUAAUGCUGCAGCCUUCAUUUAUUAACAGUGAACAGACAAGGGCAACCCAGGAGGUCACUUACAUCAGCAGCCUCUCCAUCCGCAUAAGGUAGUGAUGGUGAUUCUGACCCAGAGAACCUUCCGGAGACCUCAGCUUAGAGCCCAGCACACAGUAAGUUUUCCCAGAGAGAUGAUGCAGACGUAUGGCGAUGAGGAUACUGGGUAGAGGCCGUCACAGCAUUCUCCAGGUAAACCCGGCUCCCUUGUCUGUAAAGUGGGAGCAAGAAGCAGGCCAGCAGGUGGCUAGGAGAGUGCGCACGCGCACGGUAACUUAAGGGAUGAAGGUGGGCCCUCUGCUGGCAGGCAGUCUGAGGGGCUGCCACGUCCCACAUGCUCUGGGGCCAGGGUUGUCCUGGACCCUGGAGGUGAAGGUUAUCCCUCCAUGACCAGUCCUCACCCAGGUCCUCUGGGGAGAAGUGGGCUUGAGCACAGAGUCACCUCAGGCACAGAGCCAUCUCGACGAUAGAAGGAUGGUGGCACCGUGGACUGAUGACUGCUGCUGGUCAACAUAGGAAGGGAACGGGGGUGGGGGAUGGGGGCUAGAUUGGACUUUUGUACCACACAUUUGCAGAUCAUAAAAUUGUAUUUUGAGAAAGUAUUUUCAUCCAAUUCCCCCUUGUUCUGUUUCCAGGUAAAAAAAGAAAUUAUUGGUUAAUUUGAACUUUUACACUUUUAUCAAGGCUCAUUAUCAAAGGUUUGCCGUUGGAAUUUGUAGGAUUUAAAAAAAAAUCAAAUGGAAUGACAGCCUUUUGAGAUGAAGCCAUUCUGG
ensembl:lncRNA